AAUUCUUUCUGUUGUGAUGUUAGGUUGUUAAUUUGACAUCUUUCUAGCUUUUUAAUGUGGGUAUUUAGUGUUAUGAGUUUCCCCCUUAACACUGCCUUAGCUGCCUCUGAGAGUUUCUGGUGUGUUAUAUCUUUGUUCUCAUUAGAUUAAAAAAAUUCUUGAUUUCUGCCUUAAUUUCAUUAUUUACCAAAAAGUCAAUCAUGAGUGUGUUUAAUUUCCUCGUAAUUGCAUGGUUUUAAGCAAUUUUCUUAGUCUUGACUUCUAUUUUAUUGAGCUGUGGUCCAAGAGUGUGUCUGAUAUGAUUUUGUGGGGUUUUUUUUUGUAUUUUCUAAGGAUUGUUUUAUAUCCAAUUAUGUAGUCAAUUUUAGAGUGUGUGCCAUGAGGUAAUGAGGAGAAUGUAUGUUGUGUUGUUUUUUUCUUUAUUUUUUUAAGAGACAGGUUCUUACACUGUGUCGCAGGCUGGAGUGCAAUGGCGUGAUAUGGGUCACUGCAGGCUCAAGCUCCUGGGUUCAAGCAAUCUUCCUGCCUUGGCCUUCCAGGUAGCUGCUACAACCAGUGCAUGCCACUAUACCCAGCUAAUUUUAUUUUUUAUUUUUGUAGAGACAGGGUCUCACUCACUAUGUUGCCCAGCUGGUCUUGAACUCCUGACCUCAAGCAAUCCUCUCACCUUGGCCUCCCAAAGAGCCUGAAUUACAGGCAGAGUACUUUUGGGUCUUGCUAUUUUAUCCAGCUUGCUAUUCUGUGUAGUUUUACUGGGGACUUCAUUUCAUUUACAUUCAAAGUCCAUAUUGAUGUGUGUGGAUUUGAUACUGUCAUUGUGUUGUUAGCUGGUUAUUAUGCUGGCUUGUUUGUGUGGUUGCUUUAUAGUGUGACUGGUCUGUGUAUUUAAAUGUGCUUUCGUAUUAGCUGAUAAUGGUUUUUCUUUCUAUAUUUAGUACUCCUUUAAAGAUCUCUUGUAAGGCAGAUCUGGUGGUAACGAACUCCCCCAACAUUUGCUUAUUUGAAAAUAAUCUUAUUUAUCCUUUGCUUAGGAAGCUUAGUUUGGCUUGAUAUAAAAAAUCUUGGAAAAUCUUUUUCUUUAAAAACAUUGAAUAUAGAUCCUCCAGUCUCUUCUGGCUUAUAGGGUUUCAGCUGAGAGGUCCAACAUCCCUUCCAAUGUUGAACAGGCUCAGUUCACAGAGAAUGAGUAAAAGCAUAUUUUCCACAAUCAGACUCCUUUCUAUUGUUCCAGCAACACGUCUGAGGAGAGCACAGCAAGAUGAGAGAGAAAGUUUGCACAGGAUCUAGUCCCUGGUGAUCUGUGGGCACCCUCACGGCCAGCAGGUUCAUUCAGCUACCUUCAUGACCCUUGUAGCUGCUCUCUCCACUUUGUACUGCAGUGGACGGACCCAUACUUCGUGGGGCCUGAAAUACAGAAACCUGGAGGCAUGCCUGAGAGCCACUGAUGCAGG
rnacentral:lncRNA from 10 species